CAGUAGUUGCGAGUUUGUUUCUGCAUCCGUUGUUCCCGGGUUCGAGUCCACGUGAAGACGAAUUUACUCUCAAACUUUUUAAACUCUGCUUUAUAAUAAUUAAGAGUACUCAAAAUAUUAUAUUUGAACUAGUUCUAACAUUAAAUGCCAUUUUUCAGAAAAAUGCAAAUGUGUGAAAUUUGCCUUUUGAACGGAUUGAAUAUCGAAACAGAUUUGAUAUCGUGCGCAGAUUGUUGCCCCCAGCUAUAAACUUAAAAUAAAAACAUACACAUUACAUCUAGUUGAAGAAAUUAUCUAUGGUAUUGACCGUUGUUGUAUUUUUUGUGUGUCUGUUACAAUAAUAUUUGCGUAAAAUUCUCUAACACUUUGCAUAAAAUCUAUGUUUAGUGAACUCAAAUACUCAAAGAAAAAUGACCCGCACUCUCGCUUCCAUUAUGAUGUUGGCGUUGGUGAUACUGGUGACCAGUCACGUGACCGACGCCCAGAGCUGGGACCAGGACAUUUUGGGUCGGGAUAAUUGGAGCCAGGACAACUGGGGCCGAGACAGGUGGGGCAGAUCUAGGUGGGACGGCUCUAGGUGGGACGGCUCUAGGUGGAGCGGUAUUGGGGGACUACGAGGAAUUGGUGCUAUAGGUGGCCACGACGGAUGGGAUGGCGUCAGCGGGGUUUCCGGAUGGGGACAAGGCGGCUGGGGACAGGGAGGACUGAGCGGAAGGAGAAGCACUGGGGGCGUCCGUUACUGAUAAGAUGUAGAACCUGCAAGUAACCCGAAGUGCCACAGUCAAGCCAUGUCAAUGACAGAAGUUGUUGAUUUGACUUUGUUUUGAAAAUUUCAACAAUAAAAUCGUUUAACAUU